rnacentral:tRNA from 1 species
GGGCGCUUGGUCUAGGGGUAUGAUAUUCGCUUUGCAUGCGAAGGGUCGUGGGUUCAAUUCCCACAGCGUCCA